rnacentral:rRNA from 1 species
CGAACCAAGGAGUCUAACAUGUGCGCGAGUCUCCGGGUGAGCGAAACCUGUGGGCGCAAUGAAAGUAAAGGCGGCGCACGCCGCUGAGGUGAGAAGCACGUUUCGGCGUGCCGCAUCAUCGACCGACCUGUUCUACUCUUAGAAAGGUUUGAGUAAGAGCGUACCUGUUGGGACCCGAAAGAUGGUGAACUAUGCCUGAAUAGGGUGAAGCCAGCGGAAACACUGGUGGAAGCUCGUAGCGAUUCUGACGUGCAAAUCGAUCGUCGAAUUUGGGUAUAGCGGCGAAAGACUAAUCGAACCAUCUAGUAGCUGGUUCCCUCCGAAGUUUCCCUUAGGAUAGCUGGAGCUCGGWUGCAGU